CAGAGUUCCUUGCCCCAUGUCCUCUGUCCUCACACAUGUAGCCAACAUUUUAGGAAAAAUGUGAUUUGUUGCCACGAAGCGUAAGGAAAUUUGCAUUCGUUGCGAAUCGAAUAUUUCUUAAAAUUCAAAACGAAUUCCAUUUUGUCAGAUUCGAUUCGCUCAUCUCUAAUUUUGACAUGUGAAAUGA